AUGCAAGUCUACUGGAUUAUAUUGUACUUGUACAUUAUAUGAUGGUGGCGAACGGGUGAGUAACGCGUAGAUAAUCUACCCUUUAGUACGGGAUAAUUUCGGGAAACUGGAACUAAUACCGUAUGUGUUCUUAAAUAAGCAUUUAUUAAAGAAGAAAGAUCUUGAAUCGCUAAGGGAUGAGUCUGCGUACCAUUAGCUAGUUGGUAAUUUAACAGUUUACCAAGGCUAUGAUGGUUAGCUGGUCUGAGAGGAUGAUCAGCCACACUGGGACUGAGAUACGGCCCAGACUCCUACGGGAGGCAGCAGUGAGGAAUCUUGCACAACGGGGGCAACCCUGAUGCAGCAACGCCGCGUGAGUGAAGACUCAGUUAAUCUGUGUAAAGCUCUGUUGAAUGGGAAGAGAAAUUACUUUAGUAGAGUAAUUGGACGGUACCAUUUUAGAAAGCUCCGGCUAACUCCGUGCCAGCAGCCGCGGUAACACGGGGGGAGCAAGCGUUGUCCGGAAUUAUUGGGCGUAAAGGGCGCGUAGGUUGAAGUAUAAGUCAGCUGUUAAACGUUACGGCUUAACCGUAAUUUGCAGUUGAUACUGUAUUUCUUGAGUGUGAGAGGGGAUAGUGGAAUAUCUAGUGUAGCGGUGGAAUGCGUAGAUAUUAGAUAGAACACCUGAGGCGAAGGCGACUAUCUGGCUCACAACUGACACUGAUGUGCGAAAGCAUGGGUAGCGAACAGGAUUAGAUACCCUGGUAGUCCAUGCUGUAAACGAUGGGUACUAGGUGUUGGGGGACUUCCCCCCAGUGCCGUAGCAAACGCAUUAAGUACCCCGCCUGGGGAUUACGAUCGCAAGUUUGAAACUCAAAGGAAUUGACGGGGGCCCGCACAAGCGGUGGAGCAUGUGGUUUAAUUCGAUGCAACGCGAAGAACCUUACCUGGGCUUGAACUGAGAUUGCCGAUAUUAGAGAUAAUAUUUCUCCAGCAAUGGAACGGUCUUAGAGGUGCUGCAUGGCUGUCGUCAGCUCGUGUCGUGGGAUGUUGGGUUAAGUCCCGCAACGAGCGCAACCCUUUUCGUUAGUUACCAUCGAGUCAUGUCGGGGACUCUAACGAUACUGCCCGGGUUAACCGGGAGGAAGGUGGGGAUGACGUCAAGUCCUCAUGGCCUUUAUGUCCAGGGCUACACACGUGCUACAAUGGACGGUACAGAGCGCAGCGAGGUUGUGAGACCAAGCGAAUCGCGAAAACCGUUCUCAGUUCGGAUUGCAGUCUGCAACUCGACUGCAUGAAGUUGGAAUCGCUAGUAAUCGCGGAUCAGCAUGCCGCGGUGAAUACGUUCCCGGGCCUUGUACACACCGCCCGUCACACC
rnacentral:rRNA from 1 species